CAAGUACUCCCUCCGUUCGGAAUUACUCAUCCAAGAAAUGAAUGUAUCUAUAUGUAUUUUAGUUGUACAUACAUCCAUUUUUGUGACAAGUAAUUCUGAACGGAGGGAGUACAAC
rnacentral:pre_miRNA from 1 species